rnacentral:rRNA from 1 species
GACGAACGCUGGCGGCGUGCCUAAUACAUGCAAGUUGAGCGCUGAAGGUUGGUACUUGUACCGACUGGAUGAGCAGCGAACGGGUGAGUAACGCGUGGGGAAUCUGCCUUUGAGCGGGGGACAAAAUUUGGAAACGAAUGCUAAUACCGCAUAAAAACUUUAAACACAAGUUUUAAGUUUGAAAGAUGCAAUUGCAUCACUCAAAGAUGAUCCCGUGUUGUAUUAGCUAGUUGGUGAGGUAAAGGCUCACCAAGGCGAUGAUACAUAGCCGCCCUGAGAGGGUGCUCGGCCACAUUGGGCCUGAGACACGGCCCAAACCCCUGCGGGAGGCAGCCGUAGGGAAUCUUCGGCAAUGGACGAAAGUCUGACCGAGCAACGCCGCGUGAGUGAAGAAGGUUUUCGGAUCGUAAAACUCUGUUGGUAGAGAAGAACGUUGGUGAGAGUGGAAAGCUCAUCAAGUGACGGUACCUACCCAGAAAGGGACGGCUAACUACGUG